rnacentral:rRNA from 1 species
UACGGAGGGUGCGAGCGUUGUUCGGAAUCACUGGGCGGAAAGCGCGUGUAGGCGGCCCACUAAGUCUGAUGUGAAAGCCCGGGGCUCACCCCCGGAAGUGCAUUGGAAACUGGUGGACUCGAGUCCCGGAGAGGAGAGUGGAAUUCCUGGUGUAGCGGUGAAAUGCGUAGAUAUCAGGAGGAACACCAAUUGCGAAGGCAGCUCGCUGGGACGUUACUGACGCUGAGACGCGAAAGCGUGGGGAGCAAACAGG